rnacentral:rRNA from 1 species
UACAGAGGUCCCAAGCGUUGUUCGGAUUCAUUGGGCGUAAAGGGUGCGUAGGUGGCAUGGUAAGUCGGGUGUGAAAUCCCGGGGCUCAACCCCGGAACUGCACUCGAUACUGCCGUGCUCGAGUACUGGAGAGGAGACUGGAAUUCACGGUGUAGCAGUGAAAUGCGUAGAUAUCGUAAGGAAGACCGGUGGCGAAGGCUAGUCUCUGGACAGUUACUGACACUGAGGCACGAAGGCCAGGGGAGCAAACGGG